rnacentral:rRNA from 1 species
AUGUGUGCUCACACGCAAGUCCCCUAUAUAGUGGGUGGUGAUUUCAAUAUCAUUAGAGAAAACUAUGAGAAGAACAAAACCAUGAACCGAUCCCCUUAUAUGGAUAAGUUCAACUCCAUCAUAGAUUCACUAAGCCUUCAGGAGAUAUACAUGGGAGGGGGCAAAUACACAUGGACUAAUAAUCAAAACCACCCCACCCUGGAGAAACUUGAUAGAAUUUUGAUGAGUUUUGAUUGGGAGGACUUGUUCCCUUUGGUUACAGUUCGUAAAUUGGUUAGAGAUGUUUCCGACCACAACCCACUCCUCCUGUCCUCGGGAACGAAGAAAAUGGAUACGUCCCACCAACAUGAGUUCAGAUUUGAGCUCAGCUGGCUGCGAGAUGAAAACUUCUACCCCACUGCCAAAAAGAUCUGGGAACAACCAGUCCGGGCUGAUGAUCCUAUUGAUAUCCUUAAUAUCAAAUUGAAAUGGUUCAAAAAAUACUUUUAA